GGUUUCUCUCCUGUAUGGCUCCUCAAAUGAUGCUUAAGAUUAGAAGCGGCUGAAAAGCAUUUCUCACACUCCGAACAAAAAUAUAUUUUUUUAACAUUCUCUCCACUUUGAACGAAAUGACGUUUGGGAAGAGAUUAACAUAAUUAAACACAGGCAGUAAAAAUACAGUUUUUAGCCAUACCCUGUAACUUUAAAACUACACAUCCCAUCUUCAUAAUUACAUAUUUG